rnacentral:rRNA from 2 species
CGAAUGCUGACAUAAGUAACGAUAAAGCGGGUGAAAAGCCCGCUCGCCGGAAGACCAAGGGUUCCUGUCCAACGUUAAUCGGGGCAGGGUGAGUCGACCCCUAAGGCGAGGCCGAAAGGCGUAGUCGAUGGGAAACAGGUUAAUAUUCCUGUACUUGGUGUUACUGCGAAGGGGGGACGGAGAAGGCUAUGUUGGCCGGGCGACGGUUGUCCCGGUUUAAGCGUGUAGGCUGGUUUUCCAGGCAAAUCCGGAAAAUCAAGGCUGAGGCGUGAUGACGAGGCACUACGGUGCUGAAGCAACAAAUGCCCUGCUUCCAGGAAAAGCCUCUAAGCAUCAGGUAACAUCAAAUCGUACCCCAAACCGACACAGGUGGUCAGGUAGAGAAUACCAAGGCGCUUGAGAGAACUCGGGUGAAGGAACUAGGCAAAAUGGUGCCGUAACUUCGGGAGAAGGCACGCUGAUAUGUAGGUGAAGCGACUUGCUCGUGGAGCUGAAAUCAGUCGAAGAUACCAGCUGGCUGCAACUGUUUAUUAAAAACACAGCACUGUGCAAACACGAAAGUGGACGUAUACGGUGUGACGCCUGCCCGGUGC